GGCGGCAUAGCUCAGUUGGUAGAGCGUUCGGUUCAUGCCCGAAUUGUCGAUGGUUCGAGUCCAUUUGCCGCUACCA
rnacentral:tRNA from 1 species